UGUUUGCAGCAACAUCAGAGAGGUAUAUCGGAUAAAUUGCUGCAAUUGAUAUACAAUAUGAGGUCAUAAAGGAAUGACAUUUGCACGGAGUGUAUUUUGCUUGUCUGCAAGGAGGCGAGAACAUCUUCUCGUAUUCAGUUUUCAGUUACCAAAAUGUUGAACUUACACCUCAGAUGUAUUUUUUGGGGCAGAGUAAUGUGAAUUGUGUUUGUUUUAGAGUUCUACAUCAGCAGCUUUGAAUUUUAUUUGUUGCUAAAAUAUAUGUUUUAGAGAUUUAGUGUAUAAAAAUUUAGUGCACACUUAAAUUAUUAUGUAAUGUUUAGUUGGUGUGUUUGUAUGAAAUAGAAGAGUUUUCGAA